GACCCGAAACCCGGUGAUCUAGCCAUGGGCAGGUUGAAGGUUGGGUAACACUAACUGGAGGACCGAACCGACUAAUGUUGAAAAAUUAGCGGAUGACCUGUGGCUGGGGGUGAAAGGCCAAUCAAACCGGGAGAUAGCUGGUUCUCCCCGAAAGCUAUUUAGGUAGCGCCUCGUGAACUCAUCUCCGGGGGUAGAGCACUGUUUCGGCUAGGGGGCCAUCCCGGCUUACCAACCCGAUGCAAACUGCGAAUACCGGAGAAUGUUAUCACGGGAGACACACGGCGGGUGCUAACGUCCGUCGUGAAGAGGGAAACAACCCAGACCGCCAGCUAAGGUCCCAAAGUCAUGGUUAAGUGGGAAACGAUGUGGGAAGGCCCAGACAGCCAGGAUGUUGGCUUAGAAGCAGCCAUCAUUUAAAGAAAGCGUAAUAGCUCACUGGUCGAGUCGGCCUGCGCGGAAGAUGUAACGGGGCUAAACCAUGCACCGAAGCUGCGGCAGCGAACGUAUCACUUAAAGCGAUUCAGCGGGUUACGAUUGACGGAGCGAAGCGACGUCAAAGCGUAUACAAAGUCGAGUCGGUUUAAGGAUACGUUCGUUGGGUAGGGGAGCGUUCUGUAAGCCUGUGAAGGUGGCCUGUGAGGGUUGCUGGAGGUAUCAGAAGUGCGAAUGCUGACAUAAGUAACGAUAAAGCGGGUGAAAAGCCCGCUCGCCGGAAGACCAAGGGUUCCUGUCCAACGUUAAUCGGGGCAGGGUGAGUCGACCCCUAAGGCGAGGCCGAAAGGCGUAGUCGAUGGGAAACAGGUUAAUAUUCCUGUACUUGGUGUUACUGCGAAGGGGGGACGGAGAAGGCUAUGUUGGCCGGGCGACGGUUGUCCCGGUUUAAGCGUGUAGGCUGGUUUUCCAGGCAAAUCCGGAAAAUCAAGGCUGAGGCGUGACGACGAGGCACUACGGUGCUGAAGCAACAAAUGCCCUGCUUCCAGGAAAAGCCUCUAAGCAUCAGGUAACAUCAAAUCGUACCCCAAACCGACACAGGUGGUCAGGUAGAGAAUACCAAGGCGCUUGAGAGAACUCGGGUGAAGGAACUAGGCAAAAUGGUGCCGUAACUUCGGGAGAAGGCACGCUGACACGUAGGUGAAGUGAUUUACUCAUGGAGCUGAAGUCAGUCGAAGAUACCAGCUGGCUGCAACUGUUUAUUAAAAACACAGCACUGUGCAAACACGAAAGUGGACGUAUACGGUGUGACGCCUGCCCGGUGCCGGAAGGUUAAUUGAUGGGGUCAGCGCAAGCGAAGCUCCUGAUCGAAGCCCCGGUAAACGGCGGCCGUAACUAUAACGGUCCUAAGGUAGCGAAAUUCCUUGUCGGGUAAGUUCCGACCUGCACGAAUGGCGUAAUGAUGGCCAGGCUGUCUCCACCCGAGACUCAGUGAAAUUGAACUCGCUGUGAAGAUGCAGUGUACCCGCGGCAAGACGGAAAGACCCCGUGAACCUUUACUAUAGCUUGACACUGAACAUUGAGCCUUGAUGUGUAGGAUAGGUGGGAGGCUUUGAAGUGUGGACGCCAGUCUGCAUGGAGCCGACCUUGAAAUACCACCCUUUAAUGUUUGAUGUUCUAACGUGGACCCGUAAUCCGGGUUGCGGACAGUGUCUGGUGGGUAGUUUGACUGGGGCGGUCUCCUCCUAAAGAGUAACGGAGGAGCACGAAGGUUGGCUAAUCCUGGUCGGACAUCAGGAGGUUAGUGCAAUGGCAUAAGCCAGCUUGACUGCGAGCGUGACGGCGCGAGCAGGUGCGAAAGCAGGUCAUAGUGAUCCGGUGGUUCUGAAUGGAAGGGCCAUCGCUCAACGGAUAAAAGGUACUCCGGGGAUAACAGGCUGAUACCGCCCAAGAGUUCAUAUCGACGGCGGUGUUUGGCACCUCGAUGUCGGCUCAUCACAUCCUGGGGCUGAAGUAGGUCCCAAGGGUAUGGCUGUUCGCCAUUUAAAGUGGUACGCGAGCUGGGUUUAGAACGUCGUGAGACAGUUCGGUCCCUAUCUGCCGUGGGCGCUGGAGAACUGAGGGGGGCUGCUCCUAGUACGAGAGGACCGGAGUGGACGCAUCACUGGUGUUCGGGUUGUCAUGCCAAUGGCACUGCCCGGUAGCUAAAUGCGGAAGAGAUAAGUGCUGAAAGCAUCUAAGCACGAAACUUGCCCCGA
rnacentral:rRNA from 1 species